GUGGGGAAUCUUGCGCAAUGGGCGAAAGCCUGACGCAGCCAUGCCGCGUGAAUGAUGAAGGUCUUAGGAUUGUAAAAUUCUUUCACCGGGGACGAUAAUGACGGUACCCGGAGAAGAAGCUCCGGCUAACUUCGUGCCAGCAGCCGCGGUAAUACGAAGGGGGCUAGCGUUGCUCGGAAUUACUGGGCGUCAAGGGCGCGUAGGCGGACAGCUUAGUCAGAGGUGAAAGCCCAGGGCUCAACCUUGGAAUUGCCUUUGAUACUGGCUGUCUUGAGUUUGGGAGAGGUGAGUGGAACUCCGAGUGUAGAGGUGAAAUUCGUAGAUAUUCGGAAGAACACCAGUGGCGAAGGCGACUCACUGGCCCAAUACUGACGCUGAGGCGCGAAAGCGUGGGGAGCAAACAGGAUUAGAUACCCGAGUAGUCC
rnacentral:rRNA from 1 species